ensembl:lncRNA
CCUCCUGCAGGCCAGUCAGUCCCCGGCCGCCAGAUGGGUCCUGUAAGAACCGAAGCCAGGUGGUUCAUAGACCUUUCCAGUCCAACGACUUCCCAUCGCUCUGGCCUCGAGUCCAGACUCCUUGCCUGGCCCAGCCCCAGCCCCCUCUCCAGCCUCAGCUCUCUUCAGCCUGCUGGCCUUCGUUCAUGUGGCGUGCCAACCUCAGGUCCUCCGGACUGGCUCUGCUGGUUUCUGGUCUGUCCCUUACCUGGAUGGUGCCCUGGAUGGGGCUCAUCCUUUUUGGGGCCCUCGUUUUCUUCAUCCGUAAAGGGGGGACUUGGACUCCUUGAGUCCGAAAGAUGGUCUUAAGUUUCCACGUCUGGGGCUCUGGGAGCCACGGAGAAGCUGCCCUUCUUUGCUCCGUUCCUGCCCGGUGAGACCACCACGGGCGAGAUGCUCUGCGUUGCCCACUCCCCUCCGUCUUCGCCUGCCGGGGUCUGUUGCAGGUGCUGAGAGCCGGGGGAGGGAGACGUGAUCCCCGGCUCACGGAGGAGAGGGGAGGAGAGUAAAGAUGCAGAUGAACCUGUGUGGCCUGCCCUACUCUGAGCCUCGGUUUCCUGGUCUGUAGGAGGGCACACGUGAUUGCUGAGAGGUCUGGCAACAGAAGGGUCGAGUGGCAAUAAGCUCUCACAAAGCACCUGCCUGGGGCCUGGGUGGGGUGCCCCACGGAGGGGAUGAGAGGCUCAGCCAAGCCCUCGCAGAGCUUGCCCAGCAGGCGCAAGGCAAAUGGGGUGACUUCCAGGCAGGGCACACCCAGGAUCCCGCCCCACGGGGGACAGGGCUCCCGCUACCACUUCCACCAGCACCGGCUGCCCGAGUUCUCCUCGGCCUGCAGAGCCCCGCCCAGGACCUCCCUCUAGGACGCUGCUCCCCAUGCCGGUACUGCUCUCUCUGUCCUCUGAUCCCUGGGCCCUUAGGAGCCAAGCCACCAUAAGCACAGGCUCGGGGCCUGAGCCCUCCUGCUGCCGGUCACAAGCUGUGGGACUCGGACAAGUCAGUGGCCGAGGCCGUGGUUUUCACCUCUGUAAAACAGCAUCCUAAUACAGCUUGCGUCCUAGCGUGGUUCUGAGGCUUCAGUGGGCUGUAAAGUACCAGACGCUCACCUGCUGCAAUUGUUGAAGUCCUUCUCUGGUAUUUUCUUCAGGGGGCCUGAGGGUGAGAAGCCAGGAGCAGGUGCUUCUUAGCUGCCUUCCCCUGGUGCGUAGAGAGGAAUGAACCACUUCCUCCUGCUUCUGGCCAGGUGAGGAAACUGAGGCACAGAGGGGUAAAGUGACCCAGCCAAGGUCACACAGCUGGUGAGUGGCAGAGCUGGGGUUCAAACCCAGGCAGCCUGGUGCUAUGCGGAUACCCAAACCGUCAGGGUGCUUCUCGACGCCAUAUCCACUCCCAGAGGUGGUCCUGUGGUGUCAUCCAUCAUCUGAAGCCAUAGGGUCAUCCUGGGGUCAAGCCCAGGGAUCGUCACCCUCAGCCCAGUAAGAGAAAGGUCCACAAGUUCAAGAACCACAGUUUCCCAUCCCCCCCUUGCUGCUGACCGGCCAGGAAAACCUCGGGCCACUCCCUUUGCCCCCUUGCCUCAGUUUCCACCUCUGUCAAAUGGAGAAUAGAAAAAGCUCUUCAGCCUUUAUUAGCCCUGGGAUCUGACCCCAACCAUCCCGUAUUUGUUGAGUGACCUUUCUGAGCCAGAAUGCCUCUGGGGCUGCUUCCCUUGUCUGCAAAAUGGAGCUAAUGCUAUCUGUGCUUCUUGAGCUCUGUGGACAGACAGACGGACGGCAGGGAGAGCCCCAUGAGAAGGCCUGGGUGUGGCUGCAGCUGGCCCAGCCUGUGCACCCUCGGCCCAGCCUCUGAAGCUGGGGCCUGACAGCAGCUCAGCUCCUGCCCCAACACGGGGAGGCCAGCCCUCCACUCAUUCAGCAGCCAUUUGUUGAACAUCGACUCCGGCCAGGCCCUGGGCUGGGUACCGGGGAUGCAACUGGGACCGAGACCGAUCCAACCCCUGUCGUCACAGUCUGGGGGAAGACAGACAUCUGUAAGGAAGCCGCAUCCUGUGAAAUGCGCAGGUGGACAAGUGUCAUGAGGGAGGGGUGCAGGGGACACCCAUGAGAGUGAGUCCCCCGGGAGAGAACGCUCUGUGGGAGCGGGCCGUGGAGGAGGGGACCCCAGGGAGGGGCUUCCUGAAGCGAUGAUGAGCUGAGAGCUGUGGGGAUGAGCCAGAGCUCAUUAGGUGGACUUGGGGCAAGAGUGGAAGGGCUUGGGCGAAGGCCCCGGGGCAGAGGGAGUGACACGUGCACGGUCACGGCCUGUGAGAGACCUGAGCCCACGCCCAAGGCCCUGGCAGAGGCAGGGAAGCGGAGGAAGGUCAGCACUUCCGAGACGUGCCGCAGCAGCUGGCGGGGGACGUGGGGGAGCAGGGUCAGGCCUCCGCGGGUCAGUCACGGGGUCACAGUUUCAGAAGAGCGGGCAUCUUGGACCAUCCCAAGUCCUCGUGGUGCAGACAGGGAAGUGGAGACACAGCUGGGCAAGGACACGGCCAAGGUCAAAGCAAGGCGGGCAGAGCCGGGAAAGAACACCUGCCCAGGGCUCUGUCUGCAUCUGGAGGGCGGCCCGAGAAGCGGGAGAAAACCAAACAUCAAUUUCACACCUACUAUGUGACCCACGGUCCUGAGCACACGCACGCACGCACGCACACACACACACACACACGCACACGCUUCACCACUGGGUCCCUGGGCCUCAGGCUAGACUUGUGGCCCUGGGCACUCCUUCCGAAAAUGAGGAGAAGGAUCCUAGGGAGGUCUUUCGAUCCAGCCCACUGCCACUGGCCUCAAGGCCUCAUCUCAUUGUCUCCUUUGAAAUCCUCUAUGGUGAACAGAAAUUAUAAUCCCCAUUUUGUAGAUGAGCACACCAAGGGAAGGAGAAACUGACCCAAAACCCCACAGUAAUCAUCAGCCAAAGCUGUCUCGACUCCUACUUUAGUGCUCUGUCCGAGAUCCUGCGUUGCCCAGAUCUGAACCGUCUGGCAGGGAGGAAGUCCCUCCUGCAGUCUAACUGAAAUCUCUCGUACUUUACUAUGUCAACUGCCCGUUGUUUGUGGCUGAAGAUGCGAAAAAGCACUGUGAUCCUUCUGGGCCUUGACUGUCAUCUUGGAGGGGACUGAGCAGGGGGUAGGAGACUCAGGGACACCCCCCUUGCCCUCCAGAAUCUGAAUCCAGUUGCAGGUUUGCUUGAGGGGGUGGGAGAGAGAGCCAGGCCAUUUGCCACUGGGGCCUUUCUUCGAAGGGAAGGCUCUGGGACAGCUCUGGGAAGAAUUCCCUGGGGAAGAAGUGCUUCUGGAUCACCCUGAGGACACACACGCUCCCCCAGGACACAGCUGCCCAGGGGCCAAGCUCCCGGCCAGCGCCAGGCGGAACCCAAGGCCUUGGAUCCACCCCUGUGGCCGGAGGCGGCCUUGAGUUCCCUCCGCACACAGGCCCGUUCGACUCGCUUGUCAGAAGCCACUCAACAAAAUCCAAUUUAUGGAGCCAAUGUGAAAUGGGGAAAAUUCCUCUAAACCAAAAAUGCCUUCUUUCAAACCAGAAAGGAGGGGGGCCCGACAGCUGGGCACGCAGACGAGCAGGCCCCGGGCCGAGACGCAGCCUCGAACGCCAUGGAGGGCAGCCCAGUCUGGACCAUUACUCGGCCUCUUUCUCCAGAGAGACCCACAGUUCCCGGAGAUGUCAGGGCUCGGGGCGCCCCGCAUUUCCUGAGAAAGCUGAGGUCUUCGAGAUGCUGGUGGCGACUUACUGAGGGCCUACUGUGUGCUGGGCACUGUGCUAAGUGCUUCCAUGUGGACCCUCCCAGCAACCCCACGAGCCUCUACGAAGGAAAACAUGGCAUCCACUGGGCACCUGUCAUAUGCCAGGCACUGUCACACACGUUAUUCUGCUGAAACUUUACAUCCAUGGCCGUCUGUCGGUUACGCAGAUGAUGAAGUUGGGGUUCGGUGACUUGCCUGAGGUCACCCAGCAAAGGUGGACUGAUGGGUUCAUUCACUGGGGAAGCGGCCAUCUGGGACCUGUGAGCAUGAAGAAUGCCAUGGCGGACGGUAGUUAGAUCUGCCAGAGGCCUACGUUCUUGUCGCUCUCCUGCCCCCUCUGCCACACUAGAAACUCAGCCUAAGGUUGACAAUCAGGUUUUUAGGUUCUGAAAGGCAGGCAAAGACCCAGGCUGCAUGGAGAGGGGGUCCGGCUUAGUGGUUACUGAAGUGGGUCUUGGAACUGGACAGAGACCUGGGCUUAAACAGGGGGCCCCGCCACCUCGGCACCAGGGUACCCUCGCUGCAAGUGGUCUUUAGCAUGGCCGGGCUAGAUAAGCGCCUUGUUUUCAGGAAGAGAGGCAGCUGUGGGGGUAAGUGGCAAGGGGCAUAUUGGCAAAGUCAGGGCUUGGGCUUCCAAAUCAUGCAGAAGUCCCCGUACCCCUGGGGCUGGGUGGCCUUUGGCGAUGACUUCCCCUCUCUGAGCCCCAGUGAUCAUCUCUGAAAAAUGGGCAUGCCAGCAUGGAACCAAAAAGAGCUCUUAGGAAGAUAAAGAGGAAAAAUGACUGUGGAGUUGUUGGUGUAUAUAAAGUAACACGGAAAUGUAAAUUAUCUAAAAAUAAAUCUCUUCUGUGAAAUGUGGAGAGAGGUUGG